rnacentral:rRNA from 1 species
AGGGUUUGAUCAUGGCUCAGGAUGAACGCUGGCGGCGUGCUUAACACAUGCAAGUCGAACGAACCUUCGGGUUAGUGGCGGACGGGUGAGUAACGCGUGAGAAUCUGCCCUCAGGAGGGGGAUAACGGUUGGAAACGACCGCUAAUACCCCAUAUGCCUAUUGGUGAAAUGAAUUUCGCCUGAGGAUGAGCUCGCGUCUGAUUAGCUAGUUGGUGAGGUAAUGGCUUACCAAGGCUUCGAUCAGUAGCUGGUCUGAGAGGAUGAUCAGCCACACUGGGACUGAGACACGGCCCAGACUCCUACGGGAGGCAGCAGUGGGGAAUUUUCCGCAAUGGGCGAAAGCCUGACGGAGCAACGCCGCGUGAGGGACGAAGGCCUCUGGGCUGUAAACCUCUUUUCUCAAGGAAGAAGAUAUGACGGUACUUGAGGAAUAAGCCACGGCUAAUUCCGUGCCAGCAGCCGCGGUAAUACGGGAGUGGCAAGCGUUAUCCGGAAUUAUUGGGCGUAAAGCGUCCGCAGGCGGCUUUUCAAGUCUGCUGUUAAAGCGUGGAGCUUAACUCCAUCAUGGCAGUGGAAACUGAAAGGCUUGAGUAUGGUAGGGGCAGAGGGAAUUCCCGGUGUAGCGGUGAAAUGCGUAGAUAUCGGGAAGAACACCAGUGGCGAAGGCGCUCUGCUGGGCCAUUACUGACGCUCAUGGACGAAAGCCAGGGGAGCGAAAGGGAUUAGAUACCCCUGUAGUCCUGGCCGUAAACGAUGAACACUAGGUGUCGGGGGAAUCGACCCCUUCGGUGUCGUAGCUAACGCGUUAAGUGUUCCGCCUGGGGAGUACGCACGCAAGUGUGAAACUCAAAGGAAUUGACGGGGGCCCGCACAAGCGGUGGAGUAUGUGGUUUAAUUCGAUGCAACGCGAAGAACCUUACCAGGGUUUGACAUCCUGCGAACCUCUUAGAAAUUUGAGGGUGCCUUCGGGAAUGCAGUGACAGGUGGUGCAUGGCUGUCGUCAGCUCGUGUCGUGAGAUGUUGGGUUAAGUCCCGCAACGAGCGCAACCCACGUUUUUAGUUGCCACCAUUUAGUUGGGCACUUUAAAAGAACUGCCAGUGAUAAGCUGGAGGAAGGUGGGGAUGACGUCAAGUCCUCAUGGCCCUUAUGUGUUGGGCUACACACGUGCUACAAUGGUACUUACAAUGGGAUGCAAAGAGGUGACUCUAAGCUAAUCCCUAAAAUGUACCUCAGUUCGGAUUGUACUCUGUAACUCGAGUGCAUGAAGCUGGAAUUGCUAGUAAUCGCGGAUCAGCGCGCCGCGGUGAAUACGUUCCCGGGUCUUGUACACACCGCCCGUCACACCAUGGAAGUUGG